GACGGAGGAUGCAAGCGUUAUCCGGAAUGAUUGGGCGUAAAGCGUCCGCAGGUGGCAGUUCAAGUCUGCUGUCAAAGACCGGGGCUAACUUCGGAAAGGCAGUGGAAACUGAACAGCUAGAGUAUGGUAGGGGCAGAGGGAAUUCCUGGUGUAGCGGUGAAAUGCGUAGAGAUCAGGAAGAACAUCGGUGGCGAAGGCGCUCUGCUGGACCAUAACUGACACUCAGGGACGAAAGCUAGGGGAGCGAAUGGG
rnacentral:rRNA from 1 species